rnacentral:rRNA from 1 species
CUGAUCCGCGAUUACUAGCGAUUCCAACUUCACGCAGUCGAGUUGCAGACUGCGAUCCGGACUACGAUGCACUUUCUGGGAUUAGCUCCCCCUCGCGGGUUGGCGGCCCUCUGUAUGCACCAUUGUAUGACGUGUGAAGCCCUACCCAUAAGGGCCAUGAGGACUUGACGUCAUCCCCACCUUCCUCCGGUUUGUCACCGGCAGUCUCAUUAGAGUGCCCUUUCGUAGCAACUAAUGACAAGGGUUGCGCUCGUUGCGGGACUUAACCCAACAUCUCACGACACGAGCUGACGACAGCCAUGCAGCACCUGUGUUCAGGCUCCCUUUCGGGCACCCUCCAAUCUCUCGGAGGUUCCUGACAUGUCAAGGGUAGGUAAGGUUUUUCGCGUUGCAUCGAAUUAAUCCACAUCAUCCACCGCUUGUGCGGGUCCCCGUCAAUUCCUUUGAGUUUUAAUCUUGCGACCGUACUCCCCAGGCGGUCUACUUCACGCGUUAGCUGCGUUACCAAGUCAAUUAAGACCCGACAACUAGUAGACAUCGUUUAGGGCGUGGACUACCAGGGUAUCUAAUCCUGUUUGCUCCCCACGCUUUCGUGCAUGAGCGUCAAUCUUGACCCAGGGGGCUGCCUUCGCCAUCGGUGUUCCUCCACAUCUCUACGCAUUUCACUGCUACACGUGGAAUUCUACCCCCCUCUGCCAGAUUCAAGCCUUGCAGUCUCCAACGCAAUUCCCAGGUUGAGCCCGGGGCUUUCACGUCAGACUUACAAAACCGCCUGCGCACGCUUUACGCCCAGUAAUUCCGAUUAACGCUUGCACCCUACGUAUUACCGCGGCUGCUGGCACGUAGUUAGCCGGUGCUUAUUCUUCAGGUACCGUCAUUAGCCGAGGAUAUUAGCCCCAACCGUUUCUUCCCUGACAAAAGAGCUUUACAACCCGAAGGCCUUCUUCACUCACGCGGCAUUGCUGGAUCAGGCUUGCGCCCAUUGUCCAAAAUUCCCCACUGCUGCCUCCCGUAGGAGUCUGGACCGUGUCUCAGUUCCAGUGUGGCUGGGCGUCCUCUCAGACCAGCUACUGAUCGUCGCCUUGGUGAGCCUUUACCCCACCAACUAGCUAAUCAGA